CAUACCAAACUGUUGCCUCGGCGGGGUCACGCCCCGGGUGCGUCGCAGCCCCGGAACCAGGCGCCCGCCGGAGGGACCAACCAAACUCUUUCUGUAGUCCCCUCGCGGACGUUAUUUCUUACAGCUCUGAGCAAAAAUUCAAAAUGAAUCAAAACUUUCAACAACGGAUCUCUUGGUUCUGGCAUCGAUGAAGAACGCAGCGAAAUGCGAUAAGUAAUGUGAAUUGCAGAAUUCAGUGAAUCAUCGAAUCUUUGAACGCACAUUGCGCCCGCCAGUAUUCUGGCGGGCAUGCCUGUCCGAGCGUCAUUUCAACCCUCGAACCCCUCCGGGGGGUCGGCGUUGGGGAUCGGGAACCCCUAAGACGGGAUCCCGGCCCCGAAAUACAGUGGCGGUCUCGCCGCAGCCUCUCCUGCGCAGUAGUUUGCACAACUCGCACCGGGAGCGCGGCGCGUCCACGUCCGUAAAACACCCAACUUCUGAAAUGUUGACCUCGGAUCAGGUAGGAAUACCCGCUGAACUUAAGCAUAUCAAU
rnacentral:misc_RNA from 1 species